GAGGACAGAAGGCAAAAGGCGCCCAGCCUCUGCUCCAAGGAAGAGGAGGUCAGCCUCAGGAGGGAUUUGCUUGAGGUCUUCCAUCCAGUGAGAGACUGAGCCGAGCUCCACGGUGGGCAGAACCUGCUUGCUGGGUCUGUUGCCCCUGGGAUAUCUUUCCUAAGCUCUCUCCAGGGAAGGUGAAGCCGAGACUCCUCGUAACGGCAUUGCUCGUCGCAAAGCAGAAGGCCUAGCAGGCAAGUCGUCCCCAUCCUCCCACCUGAAAGGGUGCGGCUCUCACCCUCGCUUUACAGCAGGAGCCUGGGAAGCCUGCCUGAGGUGGGGCAGCUGGGAAGUGCUGGUAUCUGAGGUGGGCUUGGUGGUCCAGGAUCCCAGCAUGCCUAGGGGUGAGGCUGGAGCCUCACGUGGUGAGUCAGGGGAUCAGGUGAGACAGCCCUGGGCCAAGCAGGGAGCCCCAGUGAUAAGCAGGGCAGGACGAAGGCCCCAAGCGCCCCUUUCAGUGAGGCCCGGCCAGCUGGCAGGCCCGGCCAGCCUGCAACCUGAGCCAUCACCAACCAGCCUCCCAGACUCUCGGGUUCCAGGAGCCUGAGGUACAGCAGGCUUGACAGGGGACGAGUGCUCACAGCCUAACACACCACAGAUGCUUCCACUCAGAGGCACCUCCAGAAGUUUGGGACAAAAUGUCUCCUUUUGGUGAUGGGGAAACUGAGGCCAGGAAUGCAUAAAGGAUUCCAUUCUUGCUGUUUUCCUCACCACCUCAGUCCAUUUUCCAGGACGAGGCUUAGUGCCCGGCUGGCACUCAACAAACACCGUCAGAACGGCAGAGUGAGAGGGAGCCACUUUUCUGAGUAGGUAAAACACACAGGAAAGCAGGCGAAGGCUCAAGUGACAGCCUGCUUGCUGUCGGAACACAGCUCAUCCCAAGCCCCAAUAACAACAGGAAAGGAGUCACAAAGAGCAAAGGUUUUGCUUUCAUGAGACUAAGUCACUCAUAGGCACAUAUCUUGGAAUCUGUCUCAACACUUAAAAAGACCACACCUACUGGGCCAGCCCAGGCACAGGUUGAAAAGUUACCAGCAGGAACCCUGUGCAAACCCCAAGGGAACUCAGAAAACUAGAUGGAAUACUCACAGUGCUCCCAACACUUGAGAGGUGGAGACAGGAGAAUCAGCUACACAGGGAGAAGUUUGCCUUGAAUCCAUAAACACAUGAGACCAUGUCUCAAAAAAAAAAAAAAAAAAAAGGGGGGGGGAAGAAAUAGAGGGAGAGGGAGAAAGACUAUAGACAGAAAACAGACUCAGGAGAGAAAAAAGCGAGGGAGGGAGAGAAACUAGAAUAUAGGAGAGAGUAGCCCAGUGGUUAGAGUGCUGCCCAGGCAAGAAGCCCUGUAGCGCUGCAUAAGGCCAGGCAUGGCGCCUCAUUGCACAACCCUGGUAUGCGGUUAAGGAGGAGGAUCACCUUUCACUGUGUAGCAGGUUCAAAGCCAGCUUAAACUACAGGAGACUGAUCCUGACUCAAAAAGCAAAAGAAAAACUGGACCAAAAAUGGCACUGGCAGGCAUCGUGGCACGUACUUUUGAUUACAGUUCGGGGGGGGGGGCAGAGACAGGUGGAUCUCUGUGAGUUCCAGGACAGCCUGGUCUACGCAGUGAGCUCCAGGACAGCAAGAACUACAUCCGGAGAGCCUGUCUCAGACAGACAGUCCCCGAACCUGGACGGAGCUCGCCCUCCUGGAUGUGGAGAAUGACAGCGGCGAGUGCCUGUACCUGCACACAUUCGUGGACCCGUAUGUGCCGGGGACAUCCCAAGAAACAGGUGUGUCCAAGCAGAGGAAUGUGGCCGAGGCCCGGAAGGCCACGGACACGUUUAAUGGACUAUGUAGGACUUGCGCUUUCUGUGGGGCCCAACUCUGCUGGGCAAGUCACGUGGUUCUCAGAUUGGCCAAGGCCAACGACACCGUCUCAAAGAGCAUCUACACAGAGGAAACUGGAUAAUAUUUGUCAUAAAUAACGAGAAAUGGAAACACUGCCAGGUCUCUCCGGGCUGGUGCCACAACCCAUUUUCCUGGGAAGUCUGUUCUUGGAAGGCAGCCACCAUGCUUUGCCCACGCCACUGAAGAGGCCCUGUUUGGUGUUCGGGCUGAUUUCCCCAGCUGAGUUCCAAGUUGCCAACCAGUGCUAACUCCCAGAGAUGGGAGAGAGGAGGUCCUUGGUCACAGCACAUCUGCUCAUGGUUUGACUGAAAUCACAAGCACCUCAGCAUCUUCAUGAGAGGAGGACAGCCCUCCUCCGCAGACCUCCGAGAGCCACUGAGAGGAGACACUGUGGCUUACUUACUUCUGUAAUCCUCGCUCUUGGGAGGCCAAGGCAGAUGGAGUUUCGGGAGUAUAAUGCCAGCCUGAUCUACGUAAUAAGAGCCACCCCUCAAUCUGGAAAAAAAAAAGAAAAGAAAAGAAAAAGCUAGAUUGUGUAAAUUCAAGGUCCAGCCUCACCUCUUUCUCUGUAAAACGAUGAUAACAUCAGUGUCUGUAUUAUAGCACGACUGAAAGAGAAGAGCGUGAGUUUGCAGGGUGUGGGGGCACACACCUAUAAUCCAGAGCUCAGGAGGGGACACUGAAGGACUAGAAGUCCUGAGCUGGAACUGAGGUCCCUCUGGCUUGUGUAGCUGGUGCUUUGCCACCUGGACCAUCUCUCCCCGGCCGCUGCCUUUCGUAUUUUUUGUUUCUGAGACAGGGUGUCUCAGGACAGAAACCCUAGGUGGCCUGCCUCCGCCUCUUCCACAGGCACCAUCACCAUCACCAUCACAGGCCUUCAGUGUUCUUUCUCUGUCUUGGCUUGUCCGUGCCUCAUGAAGCCCCCGUGAGGCUGGCAUGGCAGUGAGCUGAUCCCUGCUUGACAGAGACAGGGACGGAGGCCAAGGAUAAUGUUAGUACCUUUUCUUUACAGUGUCUCAGUGGCUGCCAAGGACCUUGUUGUCCUUCUGCAAAGGAACCAGGAUUCAGAGGCCCACAGGCCACGCCCUGUGUGUGUGUGUGUGUGUGUGUGUGGUGAUACUGGCCUGUGUGGCCUUUUGCACCACAGGCCGUCUGGAAGGAGGGGUGUUUUCCUACUUGAUGACAGACAGCAGCCAGUUUGUAAGUCAUCUUCAGGAAUGCCUGAAAUUCCUCUCAGUGAUUCAUCCUUUCUGUUGGGCUCUGGGAACACUCUCUUCCCCUGGAAAAUUUACUAAGGGCGAGAGCUAAGUGUGGGAUGAGCAUAACAAAUACCUGUAUGCAAUCCCAGCAUUCCAGAGGCUGAACCGGAGCAGCUCAAGGCCAGCCUGGGGCAGAGGACACAGAUGGCCAGUGAGGUGGCACUCUGUGCGAUGCUGGGAGAGCAAGCAUGCCGACCUGAGUCCCAUCCGUAGAUUCUAUGGUAGAAAGACAGAACUGACUGGGCUGGGGGAGGGAGGUGCUUGACUUCCUUCCACAGAUGGAAGAACUAUCAUCCAGGAGGAGAUACGACAAUGGCCAGGGACACACAGCCGUCCAGAGCCUGGGAUGAGUGAGCAGGGCAUCAGGGUACGUUCCUGUGAGUCUCAUGGCCACAAAGAACCUCCCUCAUGGAGCUCUGAGCUGGCUUCAUUCUGCAGCCCCGAGCCCUGACUCAGAGGUUAGGCUAUUUGGGCUGCCCCUUCCUUACUCACUCAAACACACACUCUCUCCUUUCUUUGCUCACUUAUUCCUUGGGAGGCUGAGGGUGGAACCCAGGACCUUGUGCAUGCCAGGCAAGCAUGUUACCACUGAACCAUCCAGCCCCACCACUUCCUUUUCUUCCGGUAUGAGGACCUGGUUUGUCAUUAAGGGAACCACUCUACCACUCUACCCACUCUCAGGUCCCUGGAGCUGUGUUUGGAGGUAGUUCAGGGCCCAGCUCUGCUCCUAUCUAGUCCUCGGGCCGUCCUGAACCCUUCCAGUCCAUUCCUUCCUUGUCUCAGUAACAAAAUACGUCUCUCCUUUUGCAUUAAAGAAUUCUAAUUAAGGUGAGGUGACACAUCUGUAAUUCCAACACUCAGGAGGUGGAGGUUGGAGGAUCACGGAGUUCAAAACCAACUUCAGCUGUGUAGUAAGUUCGAGGUCAGCCUGGCUUACCUGAAGACUCUGCCUCAAAAAACAAAAGGAAGGGUGAUAGUGCACAUCUUCAAUCUCAGCACCCGAGAGGUUCAGACAGGCAGAGGCCAGCUUAGUCUACACAGUAAGGCCCUGUCUCAAACAAAACUGAACAAGAAUCCUAAAUGAAAAACCCACUUUUGCCAGGGGUAGCGGUCUACAUCUCUAAUCCUGGCACUCGGGUGGCAGAGGCAGGCAGAUCUCUGAGUUCAAGGCCAGCCAGAUCUACAGAGCAAGUUCCGGGACAGCCAGGAUCUACACAGAGAAACCCUGUCUUGAAAAAGGCAAAAAUCAAAACCCCCACUCUCCCUCGAAGAGAGUGAAGAUUGAAGAGGCGGAGCUGGUGGCUUGGCAAUUCUCCGCUCCUGCCUCCCCAGCCAGGCUGCUUCCACCGGGUACAGUGCCAGCUACCUGGAGCUGGUGGGUUCUGAGGCGGGAAGAGAAAAGAAGGCGGUGAGGGGGAGCUGACAGGGUCGAGCAUCAGAUCCAGGUUCCCCUGUUCAAUCAGCCUAGCUGUGAGAGUCAGCUGCAGUGUGAGGUAGCUACGGCAGACGCUAGGGGUACGGCUGAGCAGCUCACAGGGUGGAUUUCAGCUCUGAGGGCCCGCCCUCCCUGGCUGAGCCUGAGAACUGCCCGGGCAGCAGCUGCCCCAGGGUUAGGGAUAACACUUGCCUUGUAUGGAUGUUAUGAGGGUCAAAGGAGAUAGGACGGACGUUCUUGGCACAGCACCCAGACGUUUAGUAAGUCUUGAGUAAACAGUAUCUAGGUGUUAUGGCACCAGCACAGGCAGACUCAGUCUGGAAGACCCUGGCAGUCUCGCAGGAGACAACAAAUCCUGGGCUCCCCUUCUAACACCCACCUCUGGACCGAAAAUAACCUUCCUGGGAUGCCCCCAGGGCUUUGUGGCUCCUCCCAGGCCUCUACGGUAAGCUGGGCCCGAGGAGCAGGGAUCUGGCCUCGUCUCUCCCGUUAGGAUUUUCGGUUUAGUGGAAGCCUGAGAUAUCCCAGAGCCCAGUCCCAGGACUUCUCCAAAGCCCCAAAGUUUCCUGGGAUGACCUAGCACCCCCCCUCCACUCCUCUCUCCGACUAGAGACAGGUAGAGGUGAGGGCCCAGCCUAACCAGCAGUAUAGUCUCUGCAGUCUGGAGCUUCAUGCAGCAGCAGCUCAGAGCUCUCCAGCCUCCUCUCUCUCAGGCCAGCCUUGCCCUCCUGGCCUAGGGCCUCCAUGGGCAUCUGCAAAGGAGCCACGUGUGCUGGCCAGGAGCCACUUGGACUCUUGGGCGUCUCUUACAAUGGCUGCAUUCAGAGCGAAGCUGGCCCAUGGAGCCAGGGUGCAAGUUCAGACACCAACCAAGGGGCGGCCGAGGAUGGGGGAGCGGUGGUAGCGGCCCUCGGCACAGCCAAGCCUGGUGUCGGGGGUGGCCACCCCACAGCUGGGGCCACCAAGCUUGGGGCUCCCUGGGGCCCAGCAAGGGAGAGUCUGGAAGCAGACAGAGGGAUGCAUUACUCAUGGGCCCUCGCCCAUGCUCUCGCUGGCAUCUGCAGGCCCCUAGCCAGGAAUGACGUGGGUUGGCUCCCAAGCAAUCCUUGCAGUAACAGCUGGGGCUUCUGCGCCUCUUCUCCCAGGGUCCUGAGUAGGGACCCAUGGCUCCCUGCAACUGUCUCUGUCCCUUCAUCUCCCCCAAAGCCCUCACUGGCUCCCUAGGGACUUCACCUGGGGGGUCCAGACUGCCCCUUCCUCCCAUCAGCUUUCCCACUUGAGCUUGAAACUCUACCCUUGGGGCAGGUAGAAAGAAAAGCAGCCUCAUAGUGGAGACGGACUUGACUCCACCCUGACCACGCAUCUUUCCUCCCCAUUUCCAGACUGUUUCUUGCAGUCACAUGACCUGAGUUGGUCCCAGGCUAUUCCAUCCCCCAGCUUGGGCAUAAUACUCUGGAGAGGGUCUGAGGAAGUAGCCCAGUUGAUACAAUGUUUGCCAGGCAAGUCCCGGACUUGAGUUCCACCCGCAGAACCAAACGUGGUAGCUUACGUUUGUGAGGGGGAACACCGAAGGGUUCCUGGCGUGCUGGCCGGGCAACCCAGCCCGUUUGGCUAGCUCCAGGCCAAUCAGAGACCUUAUUUCAGAAACCAAGUCGGGCCUGCGUGGGGGUGGAGUGGGGUAAAGUAGCAAUGCGGCCUUUAAUCCCAGCCCUCCAAUCCCCGGCAGAGAUCUUGCUGUUGUCACUAGUGGGUUUGAAGAUGGAUCUGCGGUAGAUUCCCAGAGGGUGGGUGUAGGAGUCAGGUGGGAGGGCUCAGGCUAGCCCAGGACUGUAUCUGCCGGGUUCUGGUUGUUCGGUGGAGGGACUCUGCUCAGAGCGCACAGCCUAUGCUAGGCUGAGCUUCAGACUUCCACAUUCUCUUCAUGGAGCCUCGUACGUCUGGAGUACAGGCAUCCAUGGUCCAGUGCCUACUGAGCAGCCUGGAGAGCAACUGAUUCUCUUCUUUCUCUGUAAAUGAUGCAUUUGAGGUAGAGAGCUAAAAAAAACAAAACAAAACAAAACAACAACAACAACAAAAAACACCCUUGCCUGUUUGCCAGGCCUGGUGUCAAACAAACUUGUGAGAUAUCAGACAGGAGGUUUGAGAGUUUGAGGCCAGCCUGGUCUACAUAGCAAGUUCAGGGCCAGCCAGACCCACUCUGUGUGAAAAACAGGAGAGAUAUGUGUGUGUGCCUAACUUCCUAUGAUCCUGCCCCUUCUUUAGGAGUUGAGGUGUGCCGGGUACCCAUCCUCUGGCACUCAUUUGCCAUCCUGUCAAAUGAGAUUCCCUAUCCUCAGGUGAAAAUCGGGAGCCGGCUGUGGGAUUCAGGGAGCUGAGCCGUGAGUCCAGCUUCCAACGGGACAGCCUAACACCUGUGUCGCCAGCAGGUCUGGUGGCCGUCACAGUUCACAUCCUGUUGUUCUUCGCAGAUGAGCAGAGAGGAGGCCAGGAAGAGGCCGGAAGGCCUGGCUCAGAGGUCGACUCCUUCGGGGUUUGGAGUGGCCCACAGGAAGGGCAAGGGUGAGUGGACACUGCCUGGAGUCUGCCCACAGGCCUGGGCCCUUCCAGCCAGCAGCCCCAAGGUGCUAGCAGACUGUUAGUGCGAGCGAGCGUCACAUCCGAGCCACAGUGAGCCUGCAGGGCAGACAGGGUCUCGGUGAGGCCAAACGCACCAGUCCCUGGCCAUCUCGCCUCGGACGGUCCCUGUCUUCUCGCUGAUGGAUAGCUACCUGGAGGGCAGGCCCGCCCCAACUGAUGACAAUGGUCACUUGAGAGUGGGACGGACAGACAGGCUCCAAGGGGAAAGGAGAGUUUCUAGGAAGAUGGGUAGGACACAGCCCAGGGGACUGAUGAAGCCACUGCCCGUCACACCUCCUGGGCUUCUCAGAGCAGGCGGGCACAGAGCCUCCAGGUUCCCAGCUGGUUGAGGGGUGGCUGACACACCUCGACCUGUGCCACCCUGGGUCAUGUCACAGCCUCCAGGCUCAGUCCCCUCAUCAGUAAAUAGGGUUAGUUGGCAUUGUAUUGGCCGGGUCUUGGGUAGAUUAAGUCGCCUUGCCCUCUCUACAUAGCUGAGCUUGACUUUGAACUUCAGAUCUUCCUGCUUCCACCUCCUCACAGGCAUGCAGCGCCAACGCCGGUUUGGAGAAUUGCUUCAGAUUUUUAUUUUAUUUUAUGUAGAUGAGGAUUUUGUCUGCCUGUGUAUAGCUGUACCUUGUGCCUGGCUGGGGCCCGUGGGGCUUGGAAAAGGGUACCAGAUGCCUUGGAACUGGAGUCAUGAACGGUUGAGCUGCCGUGUGGGUGCUGGGAAUUGAACUUUGGUCUUCUGGAAGAGCAGCCGGUGCUCCUAACUUCUGAGCCAUCCAUCUCUCGUGUGUUCCCUUUUAGUCUUUACAAGGGCCGGAGAACUAGAUGCAGUUUUCAGAUUGGAAGAGCAUACAGGGUUCUUAAUUCCCACAGUAAGCAGCUGAGACGGGGAAUGUCAAGUUCUCUCCCAAGAACGCAACAGAAAGGGUCGUAUCCCUCAGAGCAGCUGUGGGAAAUGUGUGCCCAUAAAGCCUCAGGACGGGCUCUGGCACACAGUAAGCACUUUACGAGUUCAGGGUGAAGGGCUGGAGAGAUGGAGUUAAGAGCACUUGCUGGUUUUCCAGAGGACCAGAGUUCAAUCCCCAGAACCCACAUGACAGCUCAGAGCCAUCUGUAACUCCAAGAUCCUUAAGGCACCCUUUGAGGCACAAGUGGGCAGGCCCCACCCUAAGACUGCUGUAAUGUCCAUACUGGCCACUCCCAACCUCCUCCCAGCCCUGCUCUAUGAAUGGAAAUGGCCAUUUCCAGCCUUUCUCACAGAAGGCAGCCAAGCUCCACCCUUCCGAAAGAAAAAACAAAACCAACCCAAACCCCCUCAAGAUUGGGCUACAGAAUCCCACCAAUCCCCAAACUCAAAAUCCCACCAAUCCCUGAGCAUGUCCCAUGAUCAGGCCACAAAAUGGCACCAAUCUCAGACCCAGACCACCCUGAAAAGCUCCGCCCUGCCUCAGACCCUGUAUGAAGCCUGCCUCCUGCUCUGCUCUUGGCUACUUCUCAUCAGAGGGUGCAGAGUCGCUCUCCCUCUCAUGUCUUUCCCAAUAAAUCUCUUGUGUGAGGUUUGCUCUGCCACGUGAA